CCACACAUCGACAAUGGUUUCCAUUCCAAACUACCACCAGGAAUUCUACCACAUGGUUUGCCCACUAUGAAGGAAGUUGCAUCAGCCAUAACACCACUUGAAUACAAAAAAGAACCUGAAGAGAAAAAUAAAUUAAGGAACUAUCGGAAGAACAAAAACAGAUGAUCAUCUUGUCGGCGGACUUUCAAAGGUUUGUUUUACCCGCUGGUCGUGUCAUCGAAAGGGCUCUAUCUGAGAAUGUCGACAUCUACACCGAAUACAUUGGAGGUGGUGAUAGGAGUCAAACGAUGAGAGGACACAUGCUAGGUUGUCAUUGAAUCGAGAUUUCCACGAAGACCGACAACAACACAUUUUCCUGAACUGGUUGUUGUUUCAUAUCACAAUAAUGAGGAGAGUCACAAUGAACCAGAUGGUGUUGUAAUGGUCUGGAACACAAAAUAUAAAAAACAAGCACCCGAAGAUGUAUUCCAUUGUCAAAGUGCCGUUAUGUCAACAUGCUUUGCUAAAUUCAAUCAAAACCUUAUACUCUGUGGAACGUAUUCCGGUCAUAUUGUAUUAUGGAAUAAUCGAGUGGAAAAGCGCACACCCAUCCAGAGGACCAGAGGACACCUCUAAGUGCAACUGCACAUACGCAUCCAGUGUAUUGUUUGCAAAUGGUUGGCACACAGAAUGCAGACAAUGUGUUAUCGAUCUCAUCCGAUGGCAAGCUUUGCUCAUGGAGUUUAGAUAUGUUGUCGAUGCCGCAAGAUACACUGGAAAUGCAGCCACGGCAAUCGAACCCAAUUGCUAUCAGUUGCAUGUGAAGAUGGCAAUGUUUAUUAUGCUUAUCGACAUAGAAUACGUUCGGGUGUGUCUGAAGUCUAUGAGAAACAUUUGGGUCCAGUGACGGGAAUAUCAACUCAUCCAAAUCAAUCUACAACAGAUUUUGGUGAUUUGUUUCUUACAUCGUCCAUUGAUUGGACAAUUAAGUUAUGGAGUCUUAAGGACACUAAACCAUUAUAUUCAUUUGAAGAAAAUUCAAAUUAUAUUAUGGUCUCCAAUUCAUCCCGCCUUGUUCGCUUCUGUCGACGGCAGUGGUCGCCUUGAUUUAUGGAAUACCGAAGUGCCCUCG